GGUGCCGUGGUGUAGUGGUAGCACGUAACGUUGUGGCCGUUCCGACGGCGGUUCGAUUCCGCCCGGCGCCA
rnacentral:tRNA from 1 species